rnacentral:rRNA from 1 species
GACGAACGCUGGCGGCGUGCUUAACACAUGCAAGUCGAACGGAAAGGCCCUGCGUUUGUGGGGUGCUCGAGUGGCGAACGGGUGAGUAACACGUGAGUAACCUGCCCUUGACUUUGGGAUAACUUCAGGAAACUGGGGCUAAUACCGGAUAGGAGCUCCUGCUGCAUGGAGGUGGUUGGAAAGUUUAGGCGGUUGGGGAUGGACUCGCGGCUUAUCAGCUUGUAGGUGGGGCGGUGGCUUACCAACGCUUUGACGGGUAGCCGGCCUGAGAGGGUGACCGGCCACAUUGGCACUGAGAUAGGGCCCGGACUGCUGCGGUCGGCAGCAGUGGGGGAUGUUGCACGAUGGACGGGCGCCAGAUGCAGCAACGCAGCGCGCGUGAUGAAGGCCUUCGGGUUGUAUACCACUGUCGCCUGUUGCGUGGCGUGAGUGACGGUAAUGGGUAGAGAAGCCCCGGCUAACUACGUG